rnacentral:lncRNA from 1 species
CAAGUAAUCAUGUCUCCUUCAGAAAUUAUCAUUGCCUUUGGUCUAUUUGUCUAAGUAGAGAAAUAAGUAAUGUUACUAAUUUUUUAUGGCUUCCUCUAAACUCCUUCCAAGAUCUGUUCAUCUUACUUCUGCAGGCUCUAAACUGGACAUGACAUCUUUAAUUAAGAUGUGAUUCAGCUAGCAUUUGCUUAGAUCUUGCAGAUCUGAAAAAGCGCCCUGAAGAUAAGAUUGGGCAAAUAGAAUUGAACCCUCCGUCUCAGUCCACACUUGAAAGGAUUCAUUAUAUGAUGAGCCAGAGCCAGGAGCGGAGAAGCACAGAAAUCACACAGGAACUGGUGUGAUCUUUGUCCAGGUCGGUGUGCUAUGGCAACACCAAACUCAGCUUUUAGCCAGAAUCACUGGUGAGCUUCACCUUCAGAAUCGUGCAAGUUCUUGAUUUUCCAGCAUAGUCAAAUGUAUACUGAAAACAUCACAACUGGUUUAAAUUCCACCAU